GAGCGAUGACAGGAUAUGUGUGCGCCCGUGAUUGGUUGGGGUCCAUCACAGCCGUCUGAUUCCAGACGACGAGACGCACAUCUGAGCUC